rnacentral:rRNA from 1 species
AUUGAGCGCUGGCGGCAGGCCUAACACAUGCAAGUCGAGCGGAUGAAGGGAGCUUGCUCCUGGAUUCAGCGGCGGACGGGUGAGUAAUGCCUAGGAAUCUGCCUGGUAGUGGGGGAUAACGUCCGGAAACGGGCGCUAAUACCGCAUACGUCCUGAGGGAGAAAGUGGGGGAUCUUCGGACCUCACGCUAUCAGAUGAGCCUAGGUCGGAUUAGCUAGUUGGUGGGGUAAAGGCCUACCAAGGCGACGAUCCGUAACUGGUCUGAGAGGAUGAUCAGUCACACUGGAACUGAGACACGGUCCAGACUCCUACGGGAGGCAGCAGUGGGGAAUAUUGGACAAUGGGCGAAAGCCUGACCCAGCCAUGCCGCGUGUGUGAUGAAGGUCUUCGGAUUGUAAAGCACUUUAAGUUGGGAGGAAGGGCAGUAAGUUAAUACCUUGCUGUUUUGACGGUACCAACAGAAUAAGCACCGGCUAACUUCGUG